UAUUGAUAAUAAUUAAUCAAGAAAAGGAUGUAUCUGUGCUCUUUUCUCGAUGUAAAAAAAACAUUCCCCCUUAAAACGAAACAAUAAAAACCUACGUGUCACAAGCGUUUCAUACGCUUGAAUACGGCCCUGCGAUCGAAGUCUUUCCCUCUCACUCUAAUACGCUCUACGUUAUUCUCUUCGCCUUUCCUCGUCGCACCAGAGAACCGUUCUCUGUUCCCUAACUUCUAUAUACCUAUCCUCCUCUUAUACGUAUCUUCUCUCGAUACAUCUGUCCUUCUUCCUUCCACUUAACAGCGCUCGACUCGGCUCGAUUCGUAAAUUCUCGGCACGAUUACGAGAUGGCAGUACGGAAUAGAGAGGGGAGGAGAAGGUUGUCGAGCGAAGAGAGAACCCGACCAACCCCGCGAGUCAGACAAAGACGAUAGCGCCGUGAAAGAAACGGAGCGAGUGAGUAAGCGUACGAGAAAGAAUGCGGAGUGAGUAAGUGUAGAUGGCGUUGGCGCAAGUGGGACGGAGAACGCGCGAGAAAGUGAGUAAGUGAAUGGGAGUAAGAGAGAGUACGACGAAAAAUAAGGAAGAAGGAAGAUUCGCGUAUGUAUACGCGAUAGAAACAGAAAGGGAUAGAGGAACGGAAUAAAGAGACAAGGAAAAAAAAUGGCAUGGUGGUAAAAGUGCUGCAAACUAGAGAGAGAAAGAAGAUAUCUACGCAUCGGAAGGAAACCGAAAAGGGAGCGAAAAAGGGGGAAAAGACAAAGUGAAAUGAAGUAUAGAGGAGAGAAAAACGGCAGUGCGUUAAAGAGCGACGAAGGAGGAACACGAGAAACAGAAAAAUAGAGGGAGAAAGAGAGAGAGAGAGAGAAAUAGAGAGGCGGCAAGAACAGAGAGAACUUAAAACGCAGCCACACCCGUGGUUAGUCGGCAAAUUUUUCUGUUUACGUCCAUGGGAGACCAGAAACCGUGAAGCGCGAACUUACAACCGCACGUGGGUUUCGCACUGACGUUUUGCGAAAAGUAUCUCGACGAGAAAAACGGGAUAAGGAAAUCUAGCGCGAAAUGUUAAAGGUAGAACGAUCAAAGAAAGAAAAUAUUCCUAUGAAAAUGUUGCUCGGUUGUCAGCAGCAAGAAUUGGAUAAUUUAAAUGUAAAAAUGUAAAAAAAUAAUUUAGAUUUAAAACAUUUAAACGAUGUGUUUCAGAUUGAGGAAAAACGGAAGUAGAGCAUAAAAAAAAAAUGCACGUAUCUUUUUUCACGAUAGAAGAGUUGAAUUAUUUAAAAAUUAAUUGAUUAAAUUUUAAAGAUAAUAGAAAAAUUUUAAAGAUUAACAAGCAAAGGAAUAAGAAAAACGGUGUAAGAAUUUAAACUUUCCAUCGAUAAAAUAUUUUUGAAAAUUUAUCUAUAAAUAAUUGCAAACCUGUCUUCCUUGCUCGCGUUUUCAGGAUAAUAAAUAAAACGAGCUUCUCAAUACAUACUCAUGAACAAAAGAGCAGAAAAGAAGAUGAACGCAUUAAAUUAAUGCAGUGAAAAUUUGCUUUUUCUUUCCACCAUCCUUCCAGUGAUUGAAUUUCAUUAAAAGUAGAUUAUCUAAUACAUUCGCCGUUACAAUGUGUACCGAUGCACGUAUACCUUGAAGGAACGAGGUUACACGAUUAAUGAGAAUUUCCGUGGUUCGAGGGACACAAAGAGAGAAAACUGCGACCGUAACCCUGGUACAGAACGAUUUAUGAGCCUGGUCUGAGUGUGUGUGAUAUACACCGUGAUCAUGAAGUUGCAGAAUCUGUUUGAACGAUAUUGCGCUCCUACAUAUUUGCGUCCUCCAGAUAUUUCAUAUUAAACCGCGCCAAUCAUUUUUUGAGUCGUUUCAUAUAUUGGAGCUGAAGCUUUUUGGAUGUUUAACAUCCGAUAUUCAAGACUGAUAUUGUAAAUAAAAAAUUGCAAUUCGGAUAAUGAAACUUUUGUUACGUCUAUAUAUUAGAUGGAAAUGAUUAGCUGAUUGUUGCACACCCGAUACACGUACAAAGUCUUCUCCAGAUAUAUGUGCCUCGAUCGAUUUCUAUCUCGGCAGCUUCUUCACGUAAAACGAAUUCGAUAUGAUAUCAAAAACAAGAGAAGAGGAAAAACACAAAAGAAGAGGAAAGACAAGAAAUAAAUAUGGCCGAGCAAAUUCCACGUGAAACGCAAGCGCGUAUCACAAUGAAGACCCGACCUGAUUGCGAUAAACCAGACGAUCGGUUGAUGACUGGAUUCACGGCGUGAUUUUCAGCAACGAUUUAUUAUGAAAAUGCAAUGAAGUACGCGGAUAAAAUUGCAAAUGCUGAAUUAUGAUUACAAUAACAAGGAUUUAUGAUCGUUGGUACUUUCCAAAACACAAGCACCUGAAUUUAUCGUUUACUAAAAAUUACGAGAGGUGCAUUUGCAAUGUAAAUCUUAUGCGAAAUUAAGGCAAACCAACCGGAUCGGAAGAUCGUUUAAAUAAAUCAACAAAAGUCGUUUAUUCGACGGAAAAUUGACUUCUUUUCUCUUUUUCUCUUUUGCAUAUAUACGCGUGAUUAUAAGUGAUAAAAUUGAAGAAUAAAUAUCGAUGAAUAAUAAAAAAAAACUAUUGUACGAACAGGUAUGAGAGUGAUAGAGUGAGAAAAGAAGAAUUCUCUUACCUUGAACGAGGAAGAAACAUCGAUCCAUCGAUGAACACAGAGCCG